rnacentral:snRNA from 1 species
GUGCUUGUAUUGGCAGCACAUAUUCUAAAAUUGGAAUGAUACAGAGGAGAUUAGCAUGGCCCCUUCACAAGGAUGACACACAAGGUGGGUUUCCUGUAGACAGCAUAU